CAACCCUCAGGCCCCCGGGCCUGGCGUUGGGGAUCGGCGGAGCCCCCCGUGGGCACACGCCGUCCCCCAAAUACAGUGGCGGGCCCCCCGCAGCUUCCAUCGCGUAGUAGCUAACACCUCGCGACUGGAGAGCGGCGCGGCCACGCCGUAAAACACCCAACUCUUCUGA
rnacentral:misc_RNA from 1 species